rnacentral:rRNA from 1 species
CAUUGAUUUAGAAUUUUUUCAUGCAUCAAAGCUCGUUAAGACUAGAUGGGGUAUCCCUACAUAGCGGGUGGGACCCACGGCGAAUGGUUCAUCAAGUCUUCAAAAAAGAAUAUAUACGAUUGCAUUGCUUAUACUAACGGAUGCGAUCAUACCAGCACUAAUGCACUGGAUCCCAUCAGAACUCCGCAGUUAAGCGUGCUUGGGCGAGAGUAGUACUAGGAUGGGUGACCUCCUGGGAAGUUCUCGUGUUGCAUCCCUUUUUUUUUUUUAAUUUGUUUUUUUUUGGUUAAAACUUUAUGACUCCAUAACUUUUAAACAG